GCCUUCGUGGUGAAGUGGUCAGCACGCUCUGAACGUAACCGAGAGGUCCGUGGUUCGAUUCCCGGCAAAGGCA
rnacentral:tRNA from 1 species